UUCAACCCAUCAUAUGCUCAAAUUGCCACGGUAAAUCUGUGAACCAAUUCCUUCAAACUCUUCAUCAUUCGCGACAACCCCAUCACCGAGCGCUUUCUCACCCUCGACUGCCUCAAACAUCCAAUACUCCUCAGCCUCUCUACAUUCUCCUCUACGAAACCCUAGGAUUGAAAUUGAAGUCCUCUCUGGUGCCGAAGAGAUCGGCCUUGGUUCAAAUUCAUUUGUUCACUUUUUGAACAAGACAUUAGGUUAGUGGAUUAUGUUAUGAGACAACUCGUAAUCAUUUUUGGCAUAACCUGUAUGGUUCAUGAAAGUAAGUCAAUAAACUGAUAUGUAUUAUAGCAUAGGAUGCUUUAAUCUCCUUAUGGUUCUUAUUAAUGUUCUUACUCUUAAUACUUUAUUGAUGUUUUUAUGGGGAGCCCAAUGAUCAGUAUUUUUAGGUAAACGGUGAACAGACUAUUACUUGACAUUAUUUUUUCUUCUUUGAAUUAUAUAUAAAAGGGUUGUUUCUGAAUUUUGUUGGCAGCUACAACAAUAAA
rnacentral:lncRNA from 1 species